rnacentral:rRNA from 1 species
AUUAUUUUUCUGUUAAUAAGACCUCAGAGUAGUAACAGAAAUCUCUAAACUCAAAAAAUUUGGCGGCAUCUUACCUUAUUAGAGGAACCUGUCCCAUAAAUGAUGACCCACGAUUUAUUGCACCAUUUUUAAUAGUUUGUAUACCGCCGUUUUGGGAGUAUUUUAAAAUACUCCCCAAACUAUUUUAAUUAUUACAUCAGGUCAAGGUGCAGCUUAUAAAAUGGGGGUGGUGGGUUACAUUAAAUAUAAUUACACAAAAAUUUUGUUUAAAACUUAAUAGAAGGUGGAUUUAAUUGUAAUUUUAUUAUUUAAUAAAAUGACAAAGUU